rnacentral:tRNA from 1 species
GCGGGUAUCGUAUAUUGGUUAUUACCUCAGUCUUCCAAACUGAUGAGGCCGGUUCGAUUCCGGCUACCCGCU